rnacentral:tRNA from 1 species
GGAGGGAUGGCCGAGUGGUCGAAGGCGCGCGCCUGGAGAGCGCGUAGACUCCAAAAGGGUCUCGUGGGUUCGAAUCCCACUCCCUCCGCCA